ensembl:lncRNA
CACAUUUCUCAGUCUCAAAUUUGGUGUAUGUGUUUGAUCUGUGAAGUUCAGUAGUCAAGCAUUCAGCCCUGGAUCUCCUAGUAGCUGCUCCUCUGGGAGGUAUCUGCCAUUGUCUGCCAGGGCCUGAGCCAAGAAGCAGCAGGAAAAGAAUCCAAAGUGCAUCCCAGCAUCCUUCCUGAGGAAAAAGCAGCUUUCACUGAAAUGAAUAGACAAAAAUACAGAAUAUGGAGCCAUCAUUUGUUUCUUGCUGCCAUGGUUUUGUAACCUUGCUAUUGGUAUUCCACAUCAUAACAUCAUGGACAAAAGAGAAGAAGAACUACGUAUCCCAGAGGACCUCAUGGUCAGAGAAGGAAGCUACAUCACGGAAGAUAUGUCAUCUGGUUGCGCAUGGUCUUAUUCACUUUUGCUUGCUGCCAGGGAGAGGAGGGGGUGUGCUUCCAAGCCGUGCA